GAGUUUGAACCUGGCUCAGGAUGAACGCUGGCGGCGUGCCUAAUACAUGCAAGUCGAGCGAACCACUUCGGUGGUGAGCGGCGAACGGGUGAGUAACACGUAGGUGAUCUGCCCAUCAGACGGGGACAACGAUUGGAAACGAUCGCUAAUACCGGAUAGGACGAAAGUUUAAAGGUGCUUCUGGCACCGCUGAUGGAUGAGCCUGCGGCGCAUUAGCUAGUUGGUAGGGUAAAGGCCUACCAAGGCGACGAUGCGUAGCCGACCUGAGAGGGUGAACGGCCACACUGGGACUGAGACACGGCCCAGACUCCUACGGGAGGCAGCAGUAGGGAAUCUUCGGCAAUGGGCGAAAGCCUGACCGAGCAACGCCGCGUGAAUGAUGAAGGCCUUCGGGUUGUAAAAUUCUGUUAUAAGGGAAGAACGACUUUAGUAGGAAAUGGCUAGAGUGUGACGGUACCUUAUGAGAAAGCCACGGCUAACUACGUGCCAGCAGCCGCGGUAAUACGUAGGUGGCGAGCGUUAUCCGGAAUUAUUGGGCGUAAAGAGCGCGCGGGUGGUUGAUUAAGUCUGAUGUGAAAGCCCACGGCUUAACCGUGGAGGGUCAUUGGAAACUGGUCGACUUGAGUGCAGAAGA
rnacentral:rRNA from 1 species